UAGGGAAUUUUCCGCAAUGGACGCAAGUCUGACGGAGCAACGCCGUGUGAGUGAAGAAGGAUUUCGGUUCGUAAAACUCUUUUGUUAGUGAAGAAUAGCGCAUAGAGUAACUGCUAUGCGUGUGACGGCAUCUAACCAGAAAGCCACGGCUAACGACGUGCCAGUAGCAGCGGUAAUACGUAGGUGGCAAGUGUUUUCCGGAUUUAUUCGGCGUAAAGCGAGCGCAGGCGGUCAAUUAAGACUGGUGUGAAAGCCCCCGGAUCAACCGGGGAGAGUCAAUGGAAACUUGUUGACUUGAGUGCAGAAGAGGAGAGUGGAAUUCCAUGUGUAGCGGUGAAAUGCGUAGCUAUAUGGAAAAACACCAGUGGCGAAGGCGACUCUCUGGUCUGUAACUGACGCUGAAGCUCGAAAGCGUGGGUAGCAAACAGG
rnacentral:rRNA from 1 species